GGAAUCUUCCACAAUGGACGCAAGUCUGAUGGAGCAACGCCGCGUGAGUGAAGAAGGUCUUCGGAUCGUAAAACUCUGUUGUUAGAGAAGAACACGAGUGAGAGUAACUGUUCAUUCGAUGACGGUAUCUAACCAGCAAGUCACGGCUAACUACGUGCCA
rnacentral:rRNA from 1 species